rnacentral:rRNA from 1 species
CCUACGGGAGGCAGCAGUGAGGAAUAUUGGUCAAUGGGCGGGAGCCUGAACCAGCCAAGUCGCGUGAGGGAAGACGGUCCUAUGGAUUGUAAACCUCUUUAGGCGGGGAGCAAUGCCGGGCACGUGUGCCCGGAGGGAGAGUACCCGCAGAAUAAGCAUCGGCUAACUCCGUGCCAGCAGCCGCGGUAAUACGGAGGAUGCGAGCGUUCUCCGGAUUUAUGGGGUUUAACGGGUGCGUAGGCGGAUUUUUAAGUCAGCGGUAAAAUGUCCGGGCUCAACCCGGGCCGGCCGUUGAAACUGGGGAUCUUGAGUGGGCGAGAAGUAGGCGGAAUGCGUGGUGUAGCGGUGAAAUGCAUAGAUAUCACGCAGAACGCCGAUUGCGAAGGCAGCAUACCGGCGCCCGACUGACGCUGAGGCACGAAAGCGUGGGGAUCGAACAGGAUUAGAUACCCGUGUAGUC